rnacentral:rRNA from 1 species
UUCGCCUUCAUGAAGCCGGAAUUGCUAGUAAUGGCAGGUCAGCAUACUGCCGUGAAUACGUUCCCGGGGCCCUGUACACACCGCCCGUCACACCAUGAGAGUUGGGGAUACCCGAAGCCUGUGAGCUAACAUAACGAGGCAGCAGUCGAAGGUAGAAUCAAUGAUUGGGGUGAAGUCGUAACAAGGUACC